CCUACGGGAGGCAGCAGUGAGGAAUAUUGGUCAAUGGCCGGAAGGCUGAACCAGCCAUGCCGCGUGAAGGUCAGUGCCCUAUGGGCGUUAAACUUCUUUUGUGCGGGAGCAAUAAUGGUCACGUGUGGCCAGACGAGAGUACCGUACGAAUAAGCAUCGGCUAACUCCGUGCCAGCAGCCGCGGUAAUACGGGGGAUGCAAGCGUUAUCCGGAUUUAUUGGGGUUAAAGGGGGCGUAGGCUGUGAGGUAAGUCAGCGGUGAAAUGCCCCCGAUCAACGGGGUGAAGUGCCAUUGAUACUGCCUUGCUGGAAUGCGGAUGCCGUGGGAGGAAUGUGUGGUGUAGCGGUGAAAUGCAUAGAUAUCACACAGAACACCGAUUGCGAAGGCAUCUCACGAAUCCGCGAUUGACGCUGAUGCACGAAAGCGUGGGUAUCAAACAGGAUUAGAUACCCUUGUAGUG
rnacentral:rRNA from 1 species